rnacentral:rRNA from 1 species
AGCGAGUCUGCCUUGAGAUCGGAGUGCUUGCACUCUGUGAAACAAGAUACAGGCUAGCGGCGGACGGGUGAGUAACACGUGGGUAACCUGCCCAAGAGAUCGGGAUAACACCUGGAAACAGAUGCUAAUACCGGAUAACAACAGAUGAUGCCUAUCAACUGUUUAAAAGAUGGUUCUGCUAUCACUCUUGGAUGGACCUGCGGUGCAUUAGCUAGUUGGUAGGGUAACGGCCUACCAAGGCGAUGAUGCAUAGCCGAGUUGAGAGACUGAUCGGCCACAUUGGGACUGAGACACGGCCCAAACUCCUACGGGAGGCAGCAGUAGGGAAUCUUCCACAAUGGACGCAAGUCUGAUGGAGCAACGCCGCGUGAGUGAAGAAGGGUUUCGGCUCGUAAAGCUCUGUUGUUGGUGAAGAAGGAUAGGGGUAGUAACUGACCUUUGUUUGACGGUAAUCAAUUAGAAAGUCACGGCUAACUACGUGCCAGCAGCCGCGGUAAUACGUAGGUGGCAAGCGUUGUCCGGAUUUAUUGGGCGUAAAGCGAGUGCAGGCGGCUCGAUAAGUCUGAUGUGAAAGCCUUCGGCUCAACCGGAGAAUUGCAUCAGAAACUGUCGAGCUUGAGUACAGAAGAGGAGAGUGGAACUCCAUGUGUAGCGGUGAAAUGCGU